CCCUUCUUUAGACGAUCCAGACGUCCAGCUCUCCCUCUGUACUUCAACUGUAUCUGACAGGGGAACCAUUGUCCCCCCUCUCUCUAUCUGUACUCCUCCUUAUACGUUACAGAAGACCCAGUCUACUCUGUCUGUACUCCUCCUUAUAUGUUACAGAAGACCCAGUCAACCCUGUCUGUACUCCUCCUUAUAUGUUACAGAAGACCCAGUCUACUCUGUCUGUACUCCUCCUUAUAUGUUACAGAAGACCCAGUCUACUCUGUCUGUACUCCUCCUUAUAUGUUACAGAAGACCCAGUCUACUCUGUCUGUACUCCUCCUUAUAUGUUACAGAAGACCCAGUCAACCCUGUCUGUACUCCUCCUUAUACGUUACAGAAGACCCAGUCAACCCUGUCUGUACUCCCCCUUAUACGUUACAGAAGACCCAGUCAACCCUGUCUGUACUCCCCCUUAUACGUUACAGAAGACCCAGUCAACCCUGUCUGUACUCCUCCUUAUACGUUACAGAAGACCCAGUCAACCCUGUCUGUACUCCUCCUUAUAUGUUACAGAAGACCCAGUCUACUCUGUCUGUACUCCUCCUUAUACGUUACAGAAGACCCAGUCAACCCUGUCUGUACUCCUCCUUAUACGUUACAGAAGACCCAGUCAACCCUGUCUGUACUCCUCCUUAUAUGUUACAGAAGACCCAGUCAACCCUGUCUGUACUCCCCCUUAUACGUUACAGAAGACCCAGUCAACCCUGUCUGUACCCCUCCUUAUAUGUUACAGAAGACCCAGUCAACCCUGUCUGUACUCCUCCUUAUAUGUUACAGAAGACCCAGUCAACCCUGUCUGUACUCCCCCUUAUACGUUACAGAAGACCCAGUCAACCCUGUCUGUACUCCCCCUUAUACGUUACAGAAGACCCAGUCAACUCUGUCUGUACUCCUCCUUAUACGUUACAGAAGACCCAGUCAACUCUGUCUGUACUCCCCCUUAUAUGUUACAGAAGACCCAGUCAACCCUGUCUGUACCCCUCCUUAUAUGUUACAGAAGACCCAGUCAACCCUGUCUGUACUCCUCCUUAUAUGUUACAGAAGACCCAGUCAACCCUGUCUGUACUCCCCCUUAUACGUUACAGAAGACCCAGUCAACCCUGUCUGUACUCCCCCUUAUACGUUACAGAAGACCCAGUCAACUCUGUCUGUACUCCUCCUUAUACGUUACAGAAGACCCAGUCAACCCUGUCUGUACUCCCCCUUAUACGUUACAGAAGACCCAGUCAACCCAGUCUCUAACCCUCCUUAUAUGUUACAGAAGAUCCAGUCAACUCUGUCUGUACUCCUCCUUAUAUGUUACAGAAGACCCAGUCAACCCUGUCUGUACCCCUCCUUAUAUGUUACAGAAGACCCCAGUCAACCCUGUCUGUACCCCUCCUUAUAUGUUACAGAAGAACCAGUUCACCUUUGCC
rnacentral:lncRNA from 1 species